rnacentral:lncRNA from 1 species
GGGCUUGCAACCGUCACUUGUGUCUUGAGCAGUUAAAAGAUAGAACGGUCAAGUCAAGCGCCAUGUCUCUUGUUCUUGAUCAACUAUAGCUCUGGAGUUUUUUUUGCAGAUUUUCAAAUAAAACCUAGAGAUUCCUUUGAAUGACUCUCUCAAAUCUCUCUUUUGUGGUAUUUCUAGAUCCUUACCAAGGAAGUGAUGGUAUAUGCCUUCUCUCAAAGCAUUUGGUAUUUGUGGUAUGAGGCAUAGUGACAUUGCCUUCUCUCUCAUCCUACUCUAAUAAGGCUUGAUAUCUGGAGCUCAUAGGUGGGAGAUAGCUAAUACAUACUUACAAGACAUUUAUUGCAUAGUCAAACCAUGGAUCCAGAGAAACAAGUCAAUAAGUCAAAUCAAGAUGUGCAUGUGUGGCGAAUGAAUGGUGUAUGGUGAUAAUGGUGAUAAUGGUGAAAACAAUGGUGAAAGUCUAAUUCUACUUUUGCUCUUUUGAGGGGAUACAUACCUUUCUUGCACUUUGAAGCUUUUUUGAGGAGAAUGAGAUGCUCUAUAUUUUUUUUCUUUUCUCUUAGGUGGGUAUCUUGUACCCCUAAUUCUACUGUCGGACACUUGUCCAUUUUUACCUCUCGUCUCACUUUUUCUUUUUCUUCGAGGUUCCGGGCACUUGCCCCUUUUUAUUUCCUCGUAUUCACUUUUUUUCAGAGCACUCACCCUCCUGGAAUAAUGUAGCAAGUGGUAGUAACCAAAAUAUCUCGAGCAUUUAUUUCACGAGGAAUAACAGGGAUAUGAUAAUGUUUUGGCUAUUCUCUUCCGGAUAAGAGUAGACUAAUUUUGGGUGAAUCUGGAGAUGGAAAUGAGUGGAUGUAUGUGGAUGCGUAGUUCCAGAGUAGAAGUAGCAUGUAUGAGUGAACGUGCAAGUGAAUCUUGAUUUUAACCGCAUGACAAGCUCCUAAGGGUCUACACAGCUUGACCACACUCAACGCUCAUAAGUAGUAAAAAGUAAAUGUAUGGUUCCUAGUCUAAUAAGCAUGUAUAUAUGGCUGUGGUAUGGUUUUAAACUCUCAUCAUACAGGAACUCAUCAUGCAACAUUUUACAUAUUUUCAAAGAUAAAAUUCUCUAGAAUUCUAGCAUCUCUAGGAACAGAUAAACAGCAGCUU